rnacentral:snRNA from 1 species
GUGCUUGCGUUGGCAACAUGUAUACUAAAAUAGGAAUGAUACAGAGAUUAACAUGGGGCCUGCACAAGGAUAGCACACAGAUUUGUGAAGUAUACCAUAUUUUA